GGAAUACGCCCCGUCGAUAACUAAAGCCGACGCAGAUGACAAACCACACCUAGCACCGUAAAGGGGAUUGUCAGUGACAAAAACAAAUCUAAAGAGGAAUUGAUACACUAUAAGAUAACUAUUGUUAAACGUAAACACGCAUAUCCUAUCCAUUAUCGAUUAAAUGUAUAAGUGCCCCCGUGUAGUGUAGCUGGUCUAAAAUAGGUGACUAAGGGAAGAAACUAAAACAGAACCAUUCGCCGACACUUAUCGACAUUCUAUCAUAGCACGGUAGAGAAGG